rnacentral:lncRNA from 1 species
CAGCAAGCCCAGGCGGCGGUGGAAAGGCUGGAGGACACACCUAAACAUGUGGAAUCCCAAUGCCGGCCCCUGUCCUCCUCCCCCAGGAGCUCCCCAUGGCAAUCCAGCUUUCCCCCCAGGUGGGCCCCCUCAUCCUGUGCCACAGCCAGGGUAUCCAGGAUGCCAACCGUUGGGUCCCUACCCUCCUCCAUACCCACCGCCUGCCCCUGGAAUCCCUCCUGUGAAUCCCUUGGCUCCUGGCAUGGUUGGACCAGCAGUGAUAGUGGACAAGAAGAUGCAGAAGAAAAUGAAGAAAGCUCAUAAAAAGAUGCACAAGCACCAAAAGCACCACAAGUACCACAAGCAUGACAAGCAUUCCUCCUCUUCCUCCUCCUCUUCCAGCAGUGAUUCUGACUGAAUACAGGCCCUGGACCCUUCCCUCAAGUCCCACCAGUUCUGCUCUCCCAUCAAGCUUCAGAUGCCACGUUGUACUGGGGGAAUGUAGCCCUUGUGCUCCCCACCCCCUACCUCCACCUGAGCCUCACCCUGCUGUUGAGCCCUGAGUGGCUAGGGGAAAUAGGAAGAGGAUUGCCAUGGCCUGGCCAUCUUGUUGCUGCUUGGAGAGAUCAUAUAGCUAAUGAAUUAGGCAGGGGAGCUAUUUUUUGAAGAUGAUGAACUAAAUGUUGAAGACAAGUUUGAGAUCUGUAAAAUGUGAUUUUUUACUUCCACUUAUAAUACUUGUGAUUGGGGAGGUUUGUGGAAAUUCAAUUAUGAUGAAAAACCUCUAUCUUUUUUGUAAUGUUGGCAUACUUGGGGGAUUUAGUGGCAAAUACAUUCCCCAGCAGGCCUUUUGUUGGUUGCACUAACUGCAAGGUUGCUGGGAAGUAGAGUCCAUUUGGUUGAUGAGCUUUGACUGCGGUUUUGGAACCUUACCUCUCCUCCUUAGCCCAAUAUGCUGUCUCGGGUCCUAUUCAAAUAAAGUUAUUUCUCCUGGUCU